GAUGAAGAACGUAGCGAAAUGCGAUAAGUAAUGCGAAUUGCAGAAUUCAGUGAAUCAUCGAAUCUUUGAACGCACAUUGCGCCCGCCAGUAUUCUGGCGGGCAUGCCUGUCUGAGCGUCGUUUCGACCCUCGCGCCCGGCCUCUGUCGGGGGCGGUGUUGGGGAUCGGCCACACCCUUCAGUGGGAGGCCGGCCCCUAAAUUCAGUGGCGACCACGCUGUAGCCUCCCCUGCGUAGUACUAAACCCACCUCGCAGGCGGAGAGCGGUGCGGCCCGCCGUAAAACCCCCCAACUUUUACAAGGUCGACCUCAGAUCAGGUAGGAAUACCCGCUGAACUUAAGCAUAUCAAUAAGCGGAGGA
rnacentral:misc_RNA from 1 species